GACGGAGGGUGCUAGCGUUGUUCGGAAUGACUGGGCGUAAAGGGCGCGUAGGCGGCUCGUGAAGUCGGGUGUGAAAGCCCGGGGCUCAACCCCGGAACGGCAUCCGAUGACUGGCGGGCUUGAGACCGGGAGAGGAGGGUGGAAUACCCAGUGUAGAGGUGAAAUUCGUAGAUAUUGGGUGGAACACCGGUGGCGAAAGCGGCUCUCUGGCCCGGAUCUGACGCUGAGGCGCGAAAGCGUGGGGAGCAAACAGG
rnacentral:rRNA from 1 species